GACGAAGGGGGCAAGCGUUGUUCGGAAUUACUGGGCGUAAAGGGCGCGUAGGCGGCUCUUUAAGUCAGGCGUGAAAGCCCUGGGCUCAACCUGGGAGUGGCGCUUGAUACUGGAGGGCUAGAGAGUGGGAGAGGUUGGUGGAAUUCCCAGUGUAGAGGUGAAAUUCGUAGAUAUUGGGAAGAACACCGGUGGCGAAGGCGGCCAACUGGACCAUUCUGACGCUGAGGCGCGAAAGCGUGGGGAGCAAACAGG
rnacentral:rRNA from 1 species